AGAGGCUCCAAUAGAAAGGCAAACGGAUCAUGUUGGUCAAAGUCAAGUUCAGAGGCAUCCAGAAAUUCAUCAGCAUUUCUGAAGCCAAGAUCAGUGAACUGCUUGAGUGUGCAUUCCAGAAGUUUUGUUUGUCAAGACUGUCAAGACAUCUCCCUCAGCCAAUUGCCUAAUGCAAAGCUCUUUAAUGACUCUAAAACUGAGGUUGACCAGGAGGUGUUUGGAGAAGUGAUUGGUGCAAAUACUGGUGUUUAUGAGCUAUCCAUUGAUGGUGUCUCUGAAGGAGACCUUGGAGGUGCUCUUUUACCUGAUUGGAUGAAAAUGGUUGUCUUUACGUAAAAUAUGAACUUUACGUAAAAUAUUGCUAUGCCGGUUUUGUUUCUGAGGCACCAGCUGUUGGCCAGUCGACACCAGCUGUAAGUCAAGAGGACUCUGAUACUGACUCUACUCUCAUUCUGAGCGAUGAAAGUCCCCAGCGGAAACGGUCAAGACCAAAUAGGUCUGAGGCCCAUGCAACUCUACCUGCUCCCUGCAAAGUUCUAUUUUCCCAACACAGUAAUCUGAUGGCAACCGGCAGAAGCUCUUAAUUAAUGCGCAAAAGUCUCCUGGAUCCAUUCACUUCAAGUUUAGUGUCAUGUUCUCAAGUAAGCAUUUAUCAGCAAGUCCUCCAUCCUGCUGUCUUGAGUUUUGCUGAAAAGACGUUUAAGCUAAAUAAAUUCAUGUGUAUGCGGUAGUCAUGUGCGAUGAAGUUGUUUUCCUAGUUGGGUGACGAAACACUUCGCAAGAAACCUGGUGGUGAUAAUGUCAUUAGGGAGUAUGACAGAACAAAAAUGUUGUCAGACAGCACACGGCGGAAAAUGGUGAACAUUCUAGUAGCUGAAAUGAUGAAGAAGCA
rnacentral:lncRNA from 1 species